AACAGCAAGAAUCAAUGAAACCAAAAGUUCAUUCUUUGAAAAGAUCAAUUUUUACCAAUCUUAGCUUGGUGGAAAUUAUAAGCAGAAACCUCAUUAAAACGGAGUCAGGAGGCCCAAAGGGGGAGCCCGCAUGCCCUGUGUGGAGAGAAGAGACCAAGAGGAAGAAGAAAGUCUUCCUCUUCUUGACCAGCAAGAAGCUCAGCCAAUGAGGACUUGUCACAACUCACCAAUGAAAAGCCACUACACUUGGAACUCCCAGUUUCUUCAGUGGACUCUGUUAACAACAGCCCUCCCAACUUCCUCCUCCCUUCUAUAAACGAGUUUCUCCUUCCCUUGCUGCUUCAGGACCUGCAUGUGGCUUACCAUGGUUGCAGACCCCAAAUUCCAAUUGUUUGCUGAUCCUGAAUAAAUCCAUUUUUGCUGGAGAAAUAAUCGAUUGUCUAUUUGUUUAAGGUCAACCUUUGGCGGCCGGUUACAGCUAUCCAGAGAAGACACUCUGAGGCUGGUGAGCAAACAGGUGCGGCACCCACCACAGAGCCCACUGAGCUCGCUGCUUUUCUCGCUGGCCCUGGAGUUGGAGGGUGAGUCACCGAAAGAAAGACGGCUACAAUCCUUAAUCUUCAACUCCAGCAAAUGAAGGCCCCAAAAGAAAACCAAAAACCUCCUAAUUUCUGCUAUUAUUGCAGAGCCACGACGUUAGGAAAGAGAUUGUUACAAAUGUAAGUGCUUUAAGUGCCUCCAGCCCUCUAACCAGCCUUUCCAAUGUCCUCCAAAUUCUCAAGGAUGGGGCUCCAAGGAAAUGCAGGGGUUCUUCCCAAUCCUCCCUCUUAGUCGGCCUGGAGAAAACCUUCUCCAGAUUGGGGUGAAUCUCUUUUUGUCCUAAUUGACACUCAACCCACACUCUUGGUGCUCAGCCCCACUACUCUAAAGCAGCCCCGCCUCGGAAAACGAAAGCAGUUCACAUAUUGGGGAUUUCUAAUAAACCUCAACAGGCUCCUGUACGAACCUAUUCCCUCUUGUUUAGGUCCUUUGAGACACACACACCCUUUUUUCCUUAGUUCCUCCGCCUCUACUCAUUUAUCAGGCUGAGACUUCUUAGAAAAGUAUUGUGUCAGAAUUCUUUCUCCUGAAAGGGGGAAAUAAUUCUAGAAUUUGACAGUAGCCAUCAAAACAGCCCACCAAGUGACUUUCUGACAUCCUUUAUUUGCUCCGUCUCUGACAGUUCUAGAGCUGAUCCUGGAAACACUGAUCAUCUGUCCCUGUUGAAUCAGUUACCACCCUCCUCUUGGGCGACAUCUCCAGCUGAUAUGUUAAAACUCGCAGGACACCUCCCAUCCAGACUCAAACAGAUUCCCCCAAAACCUCUCCCUGGAAUUCAUCAACAUCCUGUAAGGAAAGAAGCCCUUGCAGGUGUACAGUCCAUAAUAGAGGAUUACAGGGCUCGAGGCCUCAUUAUCCUCUGUGCUAAUCCCUGUAACGCUCCUAUUUUACCUCUGAGGAAACCCCGGGGCUGAGAAUGGAGGUUUGUCCAGGACCUCUGAGCAAUAAACAACACGUUAUCCCUCGA